AUGGGAAAAAUUGGAUUCAAUUGUCAACUGGUCCUAUCGAAAGUAGGAUUGACUAUGGAUUCGAGCCAUCGCACCGCAAGCAAUCGACCCGGAUCAUUCAAUACGACUUUCCUGAUCGGUAUCAGGGCUGGGAAGAAUGGUUGGGAUAACAAACAACCAUCAGGUUUGUACUUUGGAUACCCCUAUAACCAUCAAAGAUCGUUGAAGUAG
rnacentral:rRNA from 1 species